rnacentral:sRNA from 1 species
AGUGUUUGACGAGAGCCGAAGGAGGCAGUGGGAGGUGUUGGCGGCGGCGGCGCGGGCGCCUGAGGAGGAGGAGGAGGAGAAGCGGAUGAGAUUUUGGGGCUCACCAGCGUCCCCCAUGGCUUCUGAGUAGCGCGGGAGUGGAGUCAGCACCAAGCCAGGCUCCCCGCGCCUGCCUUGCCUUCACCUGCUCCUGCUCUCUGCCAGAGGCAGCAUGGUCCGCAGGGCACCAUGGGGCCCGACAGAGUGACAGCACGAGAACUGUGCGAGAACGACGACCUGGCCACCAGCCUCGUCCUGGACCCCUACCUCGGUUUCCGCACCCAUAAGAUGAACGUCAGGUGAGGCGGCCUGGGGGCGAGGGUGGGCCCAAGGGGUCAGGACCCCUCCUCUUGCACCGCUGCCGCCCCUCAGCCCUCUCCUCAGCCUGGUCCUCCCCUCAGCUCCAAGUGGGGGUUGGGGCCGGGGCCCGGGAAGGCGCUGGGACCCAGGCAUGCCCUCUCCCCCAGCCCUGUGCCCCCCCUGCGGCGACAGCAGCACCUGCGCUCAGCGCUGGAAACUUUCCUGAGGCAGCGGGACCUGGAGGCUGCGUACCGGGCCCUGACGCUGGGAGGCUGGACGGCCCGCUACUUCCAGAGCCGGGGCCCGCGGCAGGAGGCUGCCCUCAAGACCCACGUCUAUCGCUACCUCCGUGCCUUCCUGCCGGAAAGUGGCUUUAC